rnacentral:rRNA from 1 species
GACGAACGCUGGCGGCGUGCUUAACACAUGCAAGUCGAACGGUGACCCAGGGCUUGCCCUGGUGAUCAGUGGCGAACGGGUGAGUAACACGUGGGCAACCUGCCCCUGACUUCGGGAUAACUCCUCGAAAGAGGAGCUAAUACCGGAUACGACCACUUCGGACAUCCGAUGGUGGUGGAAAGUUUUUCGGUCAGGGAUGGGCCCGCGGCCUAUCAGCUAGUUGGUGGGGUAAUGGCCUACCAAGGCGACGACGGGUAGCCGGCCUGAGAGGGCGACCGGCCACACUGGGACUGAGACACGGCCCAGACUCCUACGGGAGGCAGCAGUGGGGAAUAUUGCGCAAUGGGCGAAAGCCUGACGCAGCGACGCCGCGUGAGGGAUGAAGGCCUUCGGGAUGUAAACCUCUUUCAGCAGGGACGAAGCGAAAGUGACGGUACCUGCAGAAGAAGCACCGGCUAACUACGUGCCAGCAGCCGCGGU